ACAUUUUUUUGAAUAACAAUAUAUUAUAAACAAAAUCAAUAGACCAACGGGAAGAUGGAACAAUACAAAGAGUUGGUACAAAUAAAUAUAAAAGGGAGAAAAAAUACUAUCAAUAUCAACAAACCAAAACACAAAGCACAUCAAAAAAGACAAGUGCUUGCUUACUGAUCAACAACCAUGAAAAAAGAUGAUAACUAAACUCUUGAAUCUAGACAUCACCAAGAAAAUCAAUAAACCUUGAUAUCUUCGCACAGCAAGUAUGCCAAGUUCCUGUGAAGUCUUGAUUUAUAAAGGGGUAAAAGCAACACCAGGGGCAAUAUCGUCAAGUAUCGGACAAAACAGUCUUCUCUCACAAAAGUAGGAACUUUUCACCCAACAGAAAAACAAUAAAGCCACACCAAAUGCAAAAUGGUCCACAACAUAUUAAAAGGGAGGAUAUGUUUUCAAGUUCUCCACUAAAUAGAAGAAAUAAAAAAUGAUUAUUAACUUUAUAAGUCUAAAAUGUAAAACAUUUAAAGCAACAUAAAAAUUCAUUAUGACACUAUUAUGUGAAUAAGAUUAGUAAGAUGAGGCACCAAUAACUUUACUGAUUAAUUUUUUAAAUCAUCGUAUAUUUGUUUUUACUUUACAAACUGAUUAUCAUUAUUGUAAAAACUCCAAGAUAACAGUGUAAUUGCAAGAAUUCUCGUUAGUCUGCAAUGAAAACCACUUAUUCUAGCUAAGAAACAAAGAAAUUGUUUCAAAAUCUGCAAGAGACCAUGGUUUGAAAAGUCAACAGCAAAUAAAAGAUCAACCUCUGAUGGUCUAUUGCCUCUAGUUUGCUUUAUUUUCACAAGCAUCAGUGAUAAAACAAAGGAAAAUGAAAUUGCUUUUGAUCAACUAAAUUUACACCUAAUUAUGUUAGAUUUUGAAUGAUCUAUAAAUCUAACAAAAGAAAUUAAGCAAUCUCAUCUUGAAAACAUAGCUAAAACACAGAAAAACAAAAACCUGUCAUAAAUAAUUAUUAUAUUUUAUUAUCUAAACUACAUAGAACAAACAAUCUGCCAACAAACUGAAGGAUUAUAAAGUAAAGCAAAGUAAUAAAAAUUACCAGUAAACAUCAUUAAUAUUCCACCAAAUACUCUGCAGAUGAAAACACAAUCGAAUUUGGGGCUUUCACUAACCAAAAAAUCCAUGAUUUAUAAAACUCUUCAAACAGAACCCUGUAACCCAAAAAUUGUAAUGAAGAGUUAAUGGAAAUAAGAGACCAGUCUAGUAAUCAUCAGAUUUCAUCAAAUUGUUUGCUUCCACAAAAAAAUCAUGUUUUCAAGUUCUCCACUAAAUAGAAGAAAUAAAAAACGAUGUUGUCAAAAAAAAUGUCAGCGCCAUAAUUGAAGAAAAACACUAAAGCCACACCAAAUGCAAAAUGAAGAGUUAAUGGAAACAAGAGACCAGUCUAGUAAUCAUCAGAUUUCAUCAAAUUGUUUGCUUCCACAAAAAAAUCAUGUACUUAGAAGCCUUUGUAACUCAAUUGGUGAAGGAUAUUGUAAGCAUCCCCUAAUAAGAUAGCAAAUUUGGAAACUAUAACAACCUUUACAUUUGUUUUUUCCACAUCCCUAAAAAUGAGAUAAAAAUCCCAAUUAGAAAACUUUUUUCAAGGAAAAUGGUUUAGGAUUAACAUUCAACCAUUGGUAUUAAAAUCCUAAAGUGUGUGAGUCUGUGAUUACAAAAUGGAAAAACAGAGGCAUAACUUGGUGGUGGUGAGGACUAAAAUACACCGGCAUUUAUAUCAAAAUUAUCAUCUGGAACAACAUAACAACAACCUGAAAUUCAUACAUAGCAAAAGUUUUCAUCAAAAAAUACAAAAAAAAAACCUAAAUCGAUCUGUAUUAAUUAAUGAAGAAGCAUGAAAAAUCUCACUUGUUUCUAUAGAUCGAGACACAAAACAGAUGAGAUUGAGGUGGUCCAACAGUGGCAUCUAAGGUUUGCGACAAAGACAAUAACGUCUAGGGUUUACAGUGACAGAGAGGCAGAGUGACGAUGGUCAUAGUGAUGGCGUUUAGGCUGUGCGGCGGAUUGUGAACGAAAAAGAUGGAUGGAGUAGAGAUUAGGUCUUGAUUGUGAGAGGAAUACAUGGUUUGGGUGUACACAAGUGAGAAGGGAUCAAAGAGAACAGGUUCUGGGCUAGUUUGCGAAAAUAUACCAAAAAUCUAGAGCAGUGGUCGAAGAAGAGGAAGAAGAAAGGACUGUGGUCCUUAUUUAAAAGCUUACCUGCAGGGUGGCAACUGGAGAGCAGCGGUUUGUGGCCGUAUCUGACUCUAAAGAGUAGUCAGUGGUGUUAGAUUUUCAGACAUCGAUGGAGAUCGUUAGUAUGUUUGGGUGUACAUUAUGAAUCUAGGGUUUUCAAAGAGAACGUCAGAAUGGAAAAGGUGAGAGACGGCGACGUUAGGGAGUGGUGGUAUGGCACGAUUUUAUAGAGAGGAGUUGUGGAAUGAAAACAUGAGAUCGUUCCAUUUCAGUUCAAAAUAAAUGGGGAAGAGUCGAAAUUUUAGGCGCGCCAGGUCAAAUACUCAAAUUGAACCGGUAAGCAUGGAUAUACAAGGGAGGCGGUGUAAAAAUUAACCAAAUAUUUAAAAUUUUGGAUUCCGC
rnacentral:lncRNA from 1 species